rnacentral:sRNA from 1 species
AUUGCAAUACCCGCUUGCUCCUUGACCACGGAUGAACUGGCACUGAGAUGAGCGGAUGACGAAAGGCCGGGUCGAACCGGCCUUUUUGUUU